UUUUGCUCACUGAUAUCUGGUCCGGCCCACGGACUCUAUGGGUGGAGUCACCUUAAUAUAAAGGAGCAGGUCUCUGUGUUUACUGACAGACUUGGAGGAGACACCAGCGAGCUGCUGACCUGAAACAUUCACAGGAACAGGGUGGAAACCACAGGUUGGACACAAAAAUCACCACUUAAGUGCUGAAAAACACGUUAAAAAUGGGGAACGUACCGUCAGAAAGUAACAUGGGCGAAAACCUGAGAUGCUGCAAGUGUGAUAUAGUCCUGCCUCCGUGCAAAUCCUUCGAUGAUUU